AUUGGGAUGUUGUGAGAUGUGUAGAUGUUAAUGAAAUUGCCCAGACCAUCAAAGAACGGGGUAUGAACAACAGGCUUGCAGAACGGAUUCAGAAUUUCCUGAAUAGACUGGUUGAAGAACAUGGAAGCAUUGACCUUGAAUGGCUGAGAGACGUUCCACCAGACAAAGCAAAAGAAUACUUGCUCAGUGUAAAAGGAUUGGGAUUGAAAAGUGUGGAAUGUGUGCGACUUUUAACACUGCAUCAUCU